ensembl:lncRNA
CUUGGCGAUAAAAAAACACAUCCCCAAACACCGCUGUAACAAUGUUGGAACCUAUGUUUGGAAGUCGACUCCAUCCUCGGCAGUGACUAUCGUAUAGUAAACAUUGAAGCGUACUACUUACAGCAGGUCUUUGCUCUCUCCAGCAGGUUAACGUGGUGUGAAGAACUAUGCGCGAAGGAGUGUCGAGGUUUUAAACGGGCAGUCUGAACGUUCGGCUUCACUCGUCCUCGUUCGUGCUUUAUAUAGGGAUGCGACGCCACGUGUCCCGCAGCCAAUGAGUGAAUCGGUGCUAUUCCGCAGGUUAAAGCAGUCACUCAUUGUCAAACAUUGUAUUACCCGUAAUAUUUUUUUGUUUAAGUUAUUUGGUCAAAUAUAGUAUGAUCAGUGAAUCAGCCUAUAGCAUCCAGUCUUUUGUACAGCAGUGUGUCAUCAUUUGGCCAUAACGACCGUUCUCUUCCUCAUUAUCCUUCUGCCAGCCAGUAUUUAGCAAUUGAGAUGAACAACAUUAAAACAUCUGUGUGCACUACUGUAAUAAUUAACUAAAAUAAAAAUGUGUUUGUAUAAUAUAAUAUGGGUGGAGUUUUGUUAUUGAACACUAAAACUGAAGUUAAAACUUUGACCCCAUGUUGUUAUAUGAAGCCCAACUCAAAGUCCA